UACGUAGGGGGCAAGCGUUAUCCGGAUUUACUGGGUGUAAAGGGAGCGUAGACGGCAGUGCAAGUCUGAAGUGAAAGGCAAGGGCUCAACCCUUGGACUGCUUUGGAAACUGUGCUGCUGGAGUGUCGGAGAGGCAAGUGGAAUUCCUAGUGUAGCGGUGAAAUGCGUAGAUAUUAGGAGGAACACCAGUGGCGAAGGCGGCUUGCUGGACGAUGACUGACGGUGAGGCGCGAAAGCGUGGGGAGCAAACAGG
rnacentral:rRNA from 1 species